GUCUCCACUCGGAGUACAGCUGACAGUGGUAGCGGAAGGACACCUGCAGAGAGGAGGAGGAGAAGAAGAAACAAGACCAGAAAAUCCUAAAAGAAGCCUAUACAUAUGACAGCCGAAGAAAAACCACUGAGGGCAGUUACCUCUGUCAGAGGCCUGGGCCGGCGCUCGAUGUUGAACUCUGUGUGGCAAAGCUCACAGUAGCUAGUGUUGGAGGACGACAACCACCGCUCCAAGCAGCUCUUGUGCACCGCACCCAGGGUGCCUGUGCAGUCACAGGGUGAGAGGAGAGA